CCUACGGGGCGCAGCAGUGAGGAAUAUUGGUCAAUGGACGCAAGUCUGAACCAGCCAUGCCGCGUGCAGGAAGACGGCUCUAUGAGUUGUAAACUGCUUUUGUACGAGGGUAAACGCAGAUACGCGUAUCUGUCUGAAAGUAUCGUACGAAUAAGGAUCGGCUAACUCCGUGCCAGCAGCCGCGGUAAUACGGGGGAUGCGAGCGUUAUCCGGAUUUAUUGGGUUUAAAGGGUGCGUAGGCGGGGCGUUAAGUCAGUGGUAAAAUUGAGGGGCUCAACCCCUUCCCGCCAUUGAAACUGGCGAUCUUGAGUGGAAGAGAAGUAUGCGGAAUGCGUGGUGUAGCGGUGAAAUGCAUAGAUAUCACGCAGAACCCCGAUUGCGAAGGCAGCAUGCCGGCUUCCUACUGACGCUGAAGCACGAAAGCGUGGGGAUCGAACAGGAUUAGAUACCCCUGUAGUC
rnacentral:rRNA from 1 species